AUGCCAAAGAUGACAGUGGAGAUAAAAACCUUGGGGGAACCAGGCUCAGACAGGGUGCCAGAAAAAAAACAAGAACAAAAAAACAGCAUGGUGUGGUUUAAUCCCAUGCUGCAACACAGGUCAGAUUGUGCAGAGGACUUGUCUGGUUUCCAUGGUCUUGUCCCGAUGGCUGUCUACUUGAUGUGGCCUUCGCAGGGGAUCUGUCUCUGGGGCACAUCUAGUUGACAUGGUCUCCCCUGACAUUCAGGGCUGUAGAGGUCGUCUCUAAGUGCUGAUCCACCAUCUGGUCUGGAAACAGACUGGAUCUGGGUCUCUACGGUGACCUCAAAAUAAGAAUGAUACAGACUAAUAUUAGCCUAGAUGCCAUUCUUCUUAUGAUGUAGCGAGUAGAUCAGGUGUAAUGGGAAGUGUUGCUGGUUUACCUAAUUAUUGCAGCCUAGGAAUCCUUGGUAACACUUUAUUUUAGCGUCUCUUAACUAGUUGCUUAUCAGCAUGCAAAUUAAUAGAAUAUUAGCCAUUUAUUAGUAGUAAUUAAGCACAUAUUAAUGCCUUAUUCUACAUGACCUUAUUCUACAUCCCUAAUCUUACCCAAUAUCUAAACUUAAAAUACCUUACUAAGUAACAUUUUUAUUUAUAUAGCACUUUUCACAAAGUGCUUUACACAGUAUAAAAACACAAUCAUAAAAGAAACAUUUAUGAAGAGCAAUACACAAUGUGAAAAGAACAAAAUUCAUAAGAUAUUGUAGGCACAUCUAUACAAUAUGUUUCCAAUCGACCUUUAAAAACAGACAGAGAAUCAGAAGAUCUCAUAUCCGCUGGCAAACUAUUCCAUAGUUUUGGAGCCCUCACUGCAAAUGCCCUAUCUCCUUUUGUUUUCAAUCUAGUUCUAGGAACUACCAGUAGUUCAUUAAAAGAGGAUCUAAGACAUCUCCCUGUUUCGUACAGUUUCAAAAGUUCAGUUAAAUACAAAAAUAAAAUAAAAUAAUCUCAAAAUCAAUCCUAAAAUAAACAGGUAACCCAUGGAGAGAAGCUAAAACUUUGUUUGUAUCAAUAAUCUCGCUGCAGAAUUCUGCACUAAUUGUAACCGCGAUAAAUUAUGAUGGUUCAAAGAAGAAAACAAGACAUUGCAAUAAUCAAGACGGGAAGAAAUAAAAGCAUGAAUAAGCUUCUCUGUAUCAUUAAAAUUUAAAAACCGUCUCACCUUAGAUAUAUUUCUUAACUGAUAAAAACAAGAUUGAACCAACUUCUUGACAUGGAAUUCAAAGGUUAAAUUCGUAUCAAAAUAAUUCCCCAAAUUUCUUACCACCUGCUUAUUAUUAGGAAAAACGUCUCAGGUUAUGCAUGUAAGCAUGGGUCCCUGAGAAUAGGGAACGAGACGCUGCGUCCUCUAGAGGGCGCUAUGGGAACGCUGUCAGCGUUGCCGGUGUCUGAAGCAUGAAUGAAAAAACGACAAUGAACUUGACAUUUGCAGGCGGAAGCCUAUGGCGUAAGCUAAUGUGCGACUGCGGAUAUAAAAGGGCACUUGUAGAACACAUCACCCUCUUUUUUGUCUGAGGAGACACGGCAUGAUGCCGAAGCAUGGCACAGAGACGCAGCGUCUCGUUCCCUAUUCUCAGGGAACCAUGGUUACAUGCGUAACCUGAGACGUUCCCUUUCGAAAGGGAACUCCACGUUGCGUCCUCUAGAGCAGUGGUUCUCAACUCCAGGCCUCGGGACCCGCUGCUCUGCACAUUUUGAAUGUUUCUGAAUCUGACACACUCAGUUCAGUUCAUGGAUCUCUCUUCUAAUGAGCUGAUGAUCUGAAUCAGGUGCGAUAAAUAAGGGAGACAAACAAAAUGUGCAGAGCAGUGGGUCCCGAGGACUGGAGUUGAGAACCACUGCUCUAGAGGGCACUAUGGGAACGGUAUACCAACGCCGCCAUGCUGAGGGAAAAGUGCCUAGGUAACCAUUUCCCCAAGUCAGGACUUUAGGAACAGCAUCCCUACUAGCAAAACGCUAGGCUUUACGGCAGGCUCAUGCUCAAUCAUCAUAGACUAACCCACCGUCCAAGUCUGGAGCUCUAAGAAUGGAGGUCUCAGUAUUUAAUGAAUCUCUAAAGCGAGAGGAG
ensembl:lncRNA